GGAGUUAUAGCUCAACUGGUAGAGUACAUGCUUAGCAUGCAUGAGGUCCUGGAUUCAAUCCCCAGUACCUCCC
rnacentral:tRNA from 1 species